UGAGCCAAGUUUAGGGUUUUCUCAAAACCCAAGCAGUAUUGAACUGAAGAGUUUGAUCAUGGCUCA
rnacentral:rRNA from 4 species